rnacentral:rRNA from 1 species
CACAGAGUUAGCCGAUGCUUAUUCCCCGGAUACCGUCAUUGCUUCUUCUCCGGGAAAAGAAGUUCAUGACCCGUAGGCCUUCUACCUUCACACGGCGUUGCUCCAUCAGACUUGCGUCCAUUGUGGAAGAUUCCCUACUGCUGCCUCCCGUAGGAGUUUGGGCCGUGUCUCAGUCCCAAUGUGGCCGAUCAGUCUCUCAACUCGGCUAUGCAUCGUCGCCUUGGUAAGCCGUUACCUUACCAACUAGCUAAUGCACCGCGGGGCCAUCCCUUAGCGACAGCUUACGCCGCCUUUCAAAAGCUGAUCAUGCGAUCUGCUUUAUUAUCCGGUAUUAGCACCUGUUUCCAAAUGGUAUCCCAGACUUAGGGGCAGGUUCCCCACGUGUUACUCACCCAUCCGCCGCUCGCUUUCCCAACGUCAUUACCGAAGUAAAUCUGUUGGUUCCGCUCGCUCGACUUGCAUGUAUUAGGCACGCCGCCAGCGUUCGUCCUCGAGCCAGGAUACC